UGGUGUAUAUUUCUUCUUUGUGGGCGU
rnacentral:piRNA from 1 species